UAACUAGAUAGAAAAGCCGUCCCCUCAGAGACUAUAAUGAACAAAAAACCAUCAGACCACUGUUCUUCUUCCUUGGUGACCUACUCAAGAUCCUUAUGAGAAUCUAGGAAAAAUUGAUGAUUUUUUCAAAGAAACUGUGGCAGAGCAAAGAAAAACAAAAUUGAGAGAAGGAUACUGACCCUCCUGUCAUAGCCCAGUCAGGGGUUCCGUAUUUGUGACAUCACAGAAUGCCCGUAGAAUGGCUCACUGUGGUGCUUUCACUGCACCUACACUGAGAACACACACUCAAAUCCAGAAUUACCAGGUACUGAUAAAACAGCACUGAUAAAAGGAGAAAAGACAGAUUGAAGAAAAUGAAUUUUGGACAUUUUUGCUGCACUAGUAUGGAAUAUUUUGUCAAAGAUAUUAGGAACAGUUCUCAAGACAACUAAUUGUGUGCUCAGUGAAGAUCGGCUGGAAAAAGAAAAAGCUUUUAGCAUGAUUAAGUUUUCCUGGAGAGAGCCCUCUUUUGCCUGACAGAGAACAGAAUUCCCAAACAGUGUCUCAACUACCCUCUCUGGAAGCAGCCCAGGUCAUCACCCCACCAAGGAAGAACUUUCCGAAACAGUGAUGACUGUGAACACCGAUGCCAACGGAGGCCAGCGUGCUGAGCGAAGAGGUGGCGUACAAACAUCUGCUCCUUGUCCCACCCGCCUCGCAGCGUCUGCUCCCGCGCUCCGGCCACGCCAGUGAACUAGACACUCUGCUGUUGGAAGGACCCGCACGACUCUCAUACACUUCAUAAGGGAAACGCCUCAAGGAGUGAGCUGCACCUUAAAUGGAUCAGGGUGUUGAUUAAGUCUCCCUGCCCAUUACACAGCUCAAUGCAGGCCAUAAAUACCAAGAAUGGUGGCGACUAAAACCUUCCAAGUGCAUUUCCAGAUCCACGGCUGGGGGAGCACUCAUUUGUCAGACUGUGUAACUUAACCCGAGAGGUAUAUGGAGAGUAAAUCACACUGCACGGGGCACUACUGCACCAGACGAGCUGUGCUGACUUGCCAAAAGCCGAAUUAUUAUGGCCUACUGCCUUCAGUUGAUAAGCCUCAGGUAAACUGACAGGUGAUUCACCGCCGGGAGGAUGGAGCCAGAGCAGGCGGAGACUGCUGUCCAGCCUUGUGCUUCUGCAGCAUGAUAAACAGGCUCUGUCAUAAAAAUACACACUGAGGAGUAUGUUCCUCAAAUGCAAACAAAAAUUCUAAGUACUAUUAAAUUUUAAGUGCUACUAAAAGAUCAU